AUCCUACGGGAGGCAGCAGUGGGGAAUAUUGCACAAUGGGCGCAAGCCUGAUGCAGCCAUGCCGCGUGUAUGAAGAAGGCCUUCGGGUUGUAAAGUACUUUCAGCAGUGAGGAAGUGGGUAUGUUAAUAGCAUAUUCAUUUGACGUUAGCUGCAGAAGAAGCACCGGCUAACUCCGUGCCAGCAGCCGCGGUAAUACGGAGGGUGCGAGCGUUAAUCGGAAUUACUGGGCGUAAAGCGCAUGCAGGUGGUUUGUUAAGUCAGAUGUGAAAGCCCGGGGCUCAACCUCGGAAUUGCAUUUGAAACUGGCAAACUAGAGUACUGUAGAGGGGGUAGAAUUUCAGGUGUAGCGGUGAAAUGCGUAGAGAUCUGAAGGAAUACCGGUGGCGAAGGCGGCCCCCUGGACAGAUACUGACACUCAGAUGCGAAAGCGUGGGGAGCAAACAGGAUUAGAUACCCUGGUAG
rnacentral:rRNA from 1 species